rnacentral:rRNA from 1 species
UACGUAGGUGGCAAGCGUUGUCCGGAAUUACUGGGUGUAAAGGGAGCGUAGGCGGGAAGACAAGUUGAAUGUUUAAACUAUCGGCUCAACCGGUAGUCGCGUUCAAAACUGUUUUUCUUGAGUGAAGUAGAGGCAGGCGGAAUUCCUAGUGUAGCGGUGAAAUGCGUAGAUAUUAGGAGGAACACCAGUGGCGAAGGCGGCCUGCUGGGCUUUAACUGACGCUGAGGCUCGAAAGCGUGGGUAGCAAACA